CCUACGGGUGGCAGCAGUGGGGAAUAUUGGACAAUGGGGGCAACCCUGAUCCAGCCAUGCCGCGUGUGUGAAGGAGGCCCUCGGGUUGUAAAGCACUUUCAGUGAGGAAGAACGCCUGGUGGUUAAUACCCAUCAGGAAAGACAUCACUCACAGAAGAAGCACCGGCUAACUCCGUGCCAGCAGCCGCGGUAAUACGGAGGGUGCGAGCGUUAAUCGGAAUUACUGGGCGUAAAGCGCGCGUAGGUGGCUUGAUAAGCCGGUUGUGAAAGCCCCGGGCUCAACCUGGGAACGGCAUCCGGAACUGUCAAGCUAGAGUGCAGGAGAGGAAGGUAGAAUUCCCGGUGUAGCGGUGAAAUGCGUAGAGAUCGGGAGGAAUACCAGUGGCGAAGGCGGCCUUCUGGACUGACACUGACACUGAGGUGCGAAAGCGUGGGUAGCAAACAGGAUUAGAUACCCUUGUAGUC
rnacentral:rRNA from 1 species